UACGUAGGGUGCGAGCGUUGUCCGGAAUCAUUGGGCGUAAAGGGCGCGUAGGUGGUUCUGUAUGUCUACCGUGAAAGCAUACAGCUCAACUGUAUUUUGUCGGUAGAAACUGCAGGACUUGAGGCUGGGAGGGGCUGGUGGAAUUCCCUGUGUAGCGGUGAAAUGCGUAGAGAUGGGGGAGAACACUCGUGGCGAAGGCGGCCAGCUAGACCAGUUCUGACACUGAGGCGCGACAGCGUGGGGAGCAAACAGG
rnacentral:rRNA from 1 species